AAAUCUGCUACUUUGAACGUGGGCAGUGAUCCCCAGGAAGGUUUUUUUUUUUCUUUUAAAAUAAAUCUUGAGUUACCAGUUGGAAGACAUUACAUGAGGCACCAUGCUCUUCUUUAGGGAAGUAAAGGUUAUUGGACACUGAAGAUGACCAAAUAAGCACCAAGAUGUAGUCUUCAGAAACUUAUUUUUCCUAUCCAGCCUGUUAAUUCCUUUUAAAAGCGUUUGAAGCUUCAGUGAAUUUUUACGUGAACUUCACAGCCUUGUGCUGAAUCCAUCACCUCCCUGCCUCCUUCAGAGGAAUUUGAGUCUGGCCUUUUCAUUGGCCAUUUGGUGUCCUCUCUGCUGAGGGCUGCAUGGAGGCUUUUCUGUUCCUUAAGACCAGGGUGUGGGAUUCUGCAGGCCAGACAUCACUAACCCGUUUGAGAACAGUGAGUGCAGAGAGUCAGAAGGUUUUAUUUUGGUUCAUUGGAGUGUCUGUGACUGGGGAGCUGAAAUAUGAAAUAAACCAGCUCUGGAGACAUCGAGGAAGAGAUUAGACGAGUGGUUGGGUAGUGACACAGACAUGAUUCAUGCGCUAUCUGCUGAUGCCGAAACUUUCCAAAUACUUGCAGUGCACUGAUAGUGCGUUUCUUUAAUGCUAAAUAUAGCUACCACUUAACAGCUAAUCGUCAGGCUUAUUGUCUGUUACCCUCAAAUGCUAAGGUCAACCUGUCCUUCUGUAUUUGUAGAUAUAAAAAUAUGUAUGUGUGGUAGAAGCUGGGAAGUAAAAUACAUAAAAUUAAGUGUACAUCUAUAAAACUUGGUUAGCUUAAACUUUUAAACUAAUUGUAAAAAGCAUUUGAGCUAUUUACAUUUUUUAUUAUUUUCUCUUGGUAAAGAGUCACAGAACUUAGAUCUGAAAAAAAGAAGAAAACCUUUUAGAGAUCAUCUGUCUCAAGUUUUUUGUCUUUUCAUGUUGCAGAUUAGUAAACUGGGCUUAAGGAAAGUAAACACCCUUUUUUUAGUCUCCAUGACUAAUGGAGACCAUAGGAAGUUAAACCACAGUUUGCAUCUCUUGACAUUUACAUUUAGUGUUCUCUCUGCCUGCAUCUGAUGCUUCUUACUCAGAAAGUUUCAGGUAGAUUGAGACAUCUAAGAAUUCAGUGUUUUUAAUAUCAAAGACACACCACUUGCCUCUGUGACCUGGAAUACUUCAUUUAUAAAAUGGUAGGUCUUGACUAGAUGAUUCCUAAGAUUCUUUGGCUCACACAAAUUAUAGCACAGAAUUAUUUCUUUUUUCUUCGAAUGUGGACAGUGUUAUUAGCUCAAAUACAUAUUUUCCAACCUUUUAAAAAGCCACUUCUACUUCAAGUUUACAUUAAGUAACAUUCAGAAUCCAGAUGAAACCAAGGAGAAAAGAAAUAUUGUGAGAUUUCAUUGCUGGGGCAGGGGCAAGGGGCACAUGGGUACCUGCAGUGUGACUCACCAGCUCAGAUGUGUCUCCAUCUAGGUCAGCAAGCGGGCUCCGGGAGGAAGGGUGAGGCUGGGGCCCAGCUGUGAGGCUUUGAGACUUGAUAAUAGAAGUCCUGCUCUAUUGUUCCUUCCCUGGCAGUAUUUGUCUCGCCAGUUUGCAAGGCCUGUAAGUAGGCCAGGUGAGCCACUGAAGGUUUGCCUUGGGGGUUGAUAGGAAAGUUGAUAAGAACUCCCUUCCCGUUAGAACCGUAGGCAGGAAGGUCCACCUUCGUGACUGCAGUGUCAGAUCAGCAUGUGCUCUCCUUACCAUUCUCUUCAGUUUCUCUGCCAUGCUAAACCUGUUCAGCUUGAUGUGGAGAGCCAACUGUAUGUGCUCUUGAGGAGCUAAAGGUAGACUGAGGCUGCCUUUCUGCUGUCCAAAGAAGGAUAGUGUUGAACCUAACAUAAACGCGUGAUGUAAUUGCUAAGGUGAAUUUCUCGUUUACUGCAGCAGAAUUCAGAGAAGAGGGCUGCCCACGCUAUGUAAUGGACCAUGUAGACGGGCUUGGUGAAGAGAAGCCACAUUUUGGGGAAGCGUGAUCUAGGUUCCAUAAACCAGCCUUGUCCUAUUCACUUGGCUGAGACUGGCCACCUCUCUCUUGCCUUAGUUUCGACUAUAGCUUACAGAAGCCUUUUUUAGCUCCUCGAUAGCAUGUGCAGUUAGUCCUAGGUAUCUCUGGGUUCCACCUCUGUGGAAUUAACUAACCAUGGAUGGAAAAUAUUUUUUUUAAAUUCUAUCUUAUUGCUGCUGGCUUGUACUGUGUAUAGACCUAAGAGAGUUGUCUGUACGGAACAUGCACAGAUCUUCUUCUUGUCAUUAUUUCGUAAACAAUAUAGGUAACAACUACUUCCAUAGCACUCUGUAUUAGAUAUUAUAAAUAAUCUAGAGAUGAUUUAAAGUAUAUAGGAGGAUGUGCGUAGAUUGUAUGCAAAUACCACACCAUGUUAUAUACAGGACUUUUGUAUCUUUGAUUUUGGUAUCUGCCAGGGCCCAUGAACAAAUCCCCUAUGGGCACUGAGGGACAACUGUAUGUUAUUUACCCUCCUUCUGUAACUCUUACUAUUGCUGAGGUGGAUCAGCCAACUAAGUUGCAGAGCUGGUGCAAAUGCACUGAGGAACGAAGGCAAAGGUGGCAAAUUAUUUCUUUCUUCAAGAAAUAAUUGAUGCAGUGAAAGAAUGUGGCCGAUAGUCUUAUACAGGGAAAUGCUGGUCGUUAGUCCCUGGCUGACACUGAAACAAAGCAGAAUUAACCGAAGGACAGUGCUACACAGUGGAGAUAACAGCAGAGGUCCCCGUGUGUAAUUAGUGCAGUGUGAAUAUGUUCUUAUUUCACAUGUUAACUCGGGCAACAUCAAGUUCAUGAUCCAGAAAGGAAAUAAACUCCUAAGUGUGGCAAGUUCAUUGCCUUUCACCUCAUCUCAAGAAGGGACACCAUGUGGCCCUGUGUUUGUAUACUCUUGCCAUGACAAUUCCUCCUGUCAAAAAUGAUUCUCUCCAGAAGUUUGGUAUGUAAAUUCUUGGCCCAUCAUUCAAAACGGAAGGAGAUAGAAUUUGUUAACUAGCAUUUUUGAAGACACUAUUUGGCAUAUGAAAGAGAAAUUAACAACUCCCUAUAAGUGCUGACACUAUUUAUGUACUUUUAAUGAUAAUAAGAAUACAUGAUUUUAUGAACUGUAAAAGCUUUUUUCCCGAUCCGAUUAUCUUACCAUGGAAGAUUAUUUUUCAGAGUUUGACAUUACAGAGUAGUAGAGACAAGUGACAAAGAGAUGUUCACACCAGUUCUUUGUGAAAUCACCUGGAACCUAAGACUUGGUUCUGCCUUGAAUGUUGCUGGAUUUGCAAUAAGAAAUCCUUCCCCAGUUUUUGAGAAAAAUUGUCCAAAAUGUCUUGUUUAGGUGGUCAUUCCGUAUCUUUCCCCUCAUUUUGUUUUGUUUAUUAUUACAAUCCUUAGAAGGAGACAUGGCCAAAGAGCCCCUCUUCAUUUUCUUUAAGCUCAGUGAACCUUUCUCCUGAAACCCUUCUCAGCCUGUGUAAGGGGGAGAGCAUUGCUCCUUACUCCUAAGUAGGAGGAGGUAGAGGAAUCCCCCACUUAGGAUUAGGUGGUGCCUCACCGAUUUCCUUGUCAGUUUUUUGUCUAUUAGUAACACUUUUUUUCUGUCCCCUAACAGUGUUAAAAAUCAAAAGAAAAAAGCUGCCAUCCAGGCCAAUCUACCUAAAAUUCAUAUUUUUCUGCAUAGGAAUCUUGUUUCUAUGGAAAGGUUUCUUAAUUUGUAUUGGCAUUUUAAUGCCAAUACAAAGUCACUGGUUUCAAGAGUAAACUUUCUUUUUUUCUUCUUUUGAGCUCCAAAAUAGGAGUUUGUAGAUACGGUAUGUGCGCCUUUAGCAGGAGAGUAAUUACUCUCCUAUCACAUGUGGCCACGGUUCAGAUGCUGGUUUAAUAAGAUUAAUCAUACUGCUUUUAGUACUGGAGAAGUGCUGUCGUGUUGUCAAAGUAUGCUUUAAUGUUCAGUGAAAACAAAGCCUGUUGAGGUAUGAGUGUAUGUGGGUUUCGUUUUUUUGCACUUCUCAAUUGGUCAGGUAAAUGGAAUUCUGCAGGCUCUAAGGGAAAAAAUGGAAAUUUUAUUUGUUUAGACAUUACUCCAGCAUCUAGUUUAAGUUAAAAUUUUGGGAAAAGCUAUUCUCUUCUCAUUGUGACUUUGUCUUAUUAAAAGUGCCUCUAAUCUUUUUGCACAGCAGAGUUCACAACAAUAGAACAUGGCUAGUUAAAACCUUCUGAUAAUUCAUCUACCCACUGCAAAAUAUUUCAUUAGAAUAAACUAGAGCUUGCACUUUUGUAACUGUGCAUUGUGUAUACCCAGCAUGCACAAAUGCAUCUUGAGGACUUAGAAUAAACUUGAAUUUCUGGAAGUCCUCCUUGGCUGGGUGCUGUGUUUGACUGUGAAAGGGACAUACAUGUUUCUUUGAGCAGCUGCUUGAUUAAAAGCUUAGCCCCGGUCUUUCAGGGUGAGGUAGAAUUGGCUAGGACUCAAGUGUACGUGAUUGCAUUUCAUCUACUUGCUGUCUCAGCAGAUGGAUCUAUUUAAUUGAAUAUUUGCAGUUUGUCCUUCAUUGAUGACUAAGUACACCAAUGACUGUAGAUUCCAUUGACCAGAAAGAGUUAAUGAUGCUUUUAACUAGAUAGUUAUGUUUCCCAUAGUAGUUUUAAGAUUUAUGAAUCAAAUAAGCAAGUGAGAGUUUUCAACACUAUUUCAGAUUUUGGAGGUUGUCCCAAUAGCCUGGUCCAA